GACGAACGCUGGCGGCGUGCUUAACACAUGCAAGUCGAGCGGAGCGGCGAACGGGUGAGUAACGCGUGAGUAACUGCCCCCCUCUCUGGGAUAACAGUUGGAAACGGCUGCUAAUACCGGAUAGUGGGGGAUGAAUCCCGUCCUAGAAGCUUGUUGGUGGGGUAGUUGCCUACCACGGCGACGACGGGUAGCCGGCCGUAGAGGGCGACCGGCCACAUGGGGCUGAGAUACGGCCCAAAAUCCUACGGGAGGUAGCAGUGGGGAAUAGUGCACAAUGGGGGAAACGCUGAUGCAGCAACGCCGCGUGCGGGAGGACGGCCUUCGGGUUGUAAACAGCUUUCAGCCAUGACGCGGUAGUGGCAGAAGAAGCACCGGCUUACUACGUGCCAGCAGCCGCGGUAAUUC
rnacentral:rRNA from 1 species